UACAGAGGUCUCAAGCGUUGUUCGGAUUCAUUGGGCGUAAAGGGUGCGUAGGCGGCGCGGUAAGUCGGGUGUGAAAUCUUGGAGCUUAACUCCGAAACUGCAUUCGAUACUGCCGUGCUUGAGGACUGGAGAGGAGAGUGGAAUUUACGGUGUAGCGGUGAAAUGCGUAGAUAUCGUAAGGAAGACCAGUGGCGAAGGCGGGUCUCUGGACAGUUCCUGACGCUGAGGCACGAAGGCCAGGGGGAGCAAAACGGGG
rnacentral:rRNA from 1 species